UACACAUGCAGUCGAACGAUGAAGCCGGACUUSCUCUGGUGGAUUMGUGGCGAACGGGUGAGUAACACGUGAKAACCUGCCCUUWGACUCUGGAAUAAGCGUUGGAAACGACGUCUAAUACCGGAUACGAGCUYCAGCCGCAUSUAGGAGCUGGAAAGAAUUCYCGGUCAAGGAUGGACUCGCGGCCUAUCAGGUAGUUGGUGAGGUAAUAGCUCACCAAGCCUACGACGGGUAGCCGGCCUGAGAGGGUGACCGGCCACACUGGAACUGAGACACGGUCCAGACUCCUACGGGAGGCAGCAGUGGGGAAUAUUGCACAAUGGGCGCAAGUGAUGCAGCAACSCGCGUGAGGGACGACGGCCUUCGGGGUUGUAAACCUCUUUUAGUAGGGAAGAAGCGAAAGUGACGGUACCUGCAGAAAAAGCACCGGCUAACUACGUGCCAGCAGCCGCGGUAAUACGUAGGGUGCAAGCGUUAUCCGGAAUUAUUGGGCGUAAAGAGCUCGUAGGCGGUUUGUCGCGUCUGCUGUGAAAACUGGGGGCUCAACCCCCAGCCUGCAGUGGGUACGGGCAGACUAGAGUGCGGUAGGGGAGAUUGGAAUUCCUGGUGUAGCGGUGGAAUGCGCAGAUAUCAGGAGGAACACCAAUGGCGAAGGCAGAUCUCUGGGCCGUUACUGACGCUGAGGAGCGAAAGCAUGGGGAGCGAACAGGAUUAGAUACCCUGGUAGUCCAUGCCGUAAACGUUGGGAACUAGAUGUAGGGGCCAUUCCACGGUUUCUGUGUCGCAGCUAACGCAUUAAGUUCCCCGCCUGGGGAGUACGGCCGCAAGGCUAAAACUCAAAGGAAUUGACGGGGGCCGCACAAGCGGCGGAGCAUGCGGAUUAAUUCGAUGCAACGCGAAGAACCUUACCAAGACUUGACAUAUACGAGAACGGGCUAGAAAUAGUUCACUCUUUGGACACUCGUAAACAGGUGGUGCAUGGUUGUCGUCAGCUCGUGUCGUGAGAUGUUGGGUUAAGUCCCGCAACGAGCGCAACCCUCGUUCUUUGUUGCCAGCACGUAAUGGUGGG
rnacentral:rRNA from 1 species